AAGUCGUACAGGUCUCCGUAGGUGAACCUGCGGAGGGAUCAUUACACAAAUAUGAAGGCGGGCUGGAACCUCUCGGGGUUACAGCCUUGCUGAAUUAUUCACCCUUGUCUUUUGCGUACUUCUUGUUUCCUUGGUGGGUUCGCCCACCACUAGGACAAACAUAAACCUUUUGUAAUUGCAGUCAGCGUCAGUAACAAAUUAAUAAUUACAACUUUCAACAACGGAUCUCUUGGUUCUGGCAUCGAUGAAGAACGCAGCGAAAUGCGAUAAGUAGUGUGAAUUGCAGAAUUCAGUGAAUCAUCGAAUCUUUGAACGCACAUUGCGCCCUUUGGUAUUCCAAAGGGCAUGCCUGUUCGAGCGUCAUUUGUACCCUCAAGCUUUGCUUGGUGUUGGGCGUCUUGUCUCUAGCUUUGCUGGAGACUCGCCUUAAAGUAAUUGGCAGCCGGCCUACUGGCUUCGGAGCGCAGCACAAGUCGCACUCUCUAUCAGCAAAGGUCUAGCAUCCAUUAAGCCUUUUUUCAACUUUUGACCUCGGAUCAGGUAGGGAUACCCGCUGAACUUAAGCAUAUC
rnacentral:rRNA from 1 species